rnacentral:Y_RNA from 1 species
GACUGGUCCGAAGGUAGUGAGUUAUCUCCCUUGAUUGUUCACAGUCAGUUACAGAUUGAACUCCUUGUUCUUCUACUUAACCCCCCUCCUCACUACUGCACUUGACUCGUCUAAA